ACGCGCGCUCCGGGGUCGGUGAAAUUCCGAGCCGGCGGUGAUAGUCCGCGACCCACACCCGCACAGUUCGGGGUGUGGCUGAUCCGGUGAAAUUCCGGAACCGACGGUCAAAGUCCGGAUGGGAGGACGCGCGC
rnacentral:ncRNA from 1 species